GACGAACGCUUUCGGCUUUCUUAACACAUGCAAGUCGAACGGAAAGGCCCUGCUUUUGUGGGGUGCUCGAGUGGCGAACGGGUGAGUAACACGUGAGUAACCUGCCCUUGACUUUGGGAUAACUUCAGGAAACUGGGGCUAAUACCGGAUAGGAGCUCCUGCUGCAUGGUGGGGGUUGGAAAGUUUCGGCGGUUGGGGAUGGACUCGCGGCUUAUCAGCUUGUUGGUGGGGUAGUGGCUUACCAAGGCUUUGACGGGUAGCCGGCCUGAGAGGGUGACCGGCCACAUUGGGACUGAGAUACGGCCCAGACUCCUACGGGAGGCAGCAGUGGGGAAUAUUGCACAAUGGGCGGAAGCCUGAUGCAGCAACGCCGCGUGCGGGAUGACGGCCUUCGGGUUGUAAACCGCUUUCGCCUGUGACGAAGCGUGAGUGACGGUAAUGGGUAAAGAAGCACCGGCUAACUACGUG
rnacentral:rRNA from 1 species